rnacentral:rRNA from 1 species
GACGAACCGUGCGAACGUUAUUCGGAAUCACUGGGCUUAAAGCGCGUGUAGGCGGGCGGGAACGUCGGUCGUUGAAAUCCCCCGGCUCAACCGAGGAACUGCGCUUGAAACCGGAUGGCUCGAGUCAACUAGAGGUGCAUGGAACUUCCAGUGGAGCGGUGAAAUGUGUUGAUAUUGGAAGGAACACCGGAGGCGAAGGCGGUGCACUGGGGUUGGUCUGACGCUGAGGCACGAAAGCCAGGGGAGCGAACGGG